rnacentral:rRNA from 1 species
GGCCAGACUCCUACGGGAGGCAGCAGUGGGGAAUAUUGCACAAUGGGGGAAACCCUGAUGCAGCGACGCCGCGUGAGCGAAGAAGUAUUUCGGUAUGUAAAGCUCUAUCAGCAGGGAAGAAAAUGACGGUACCUGACUAAGAAGCCCCGGCUAACUACGUGCCAGCAGCCGCGGUAAUACGUAGGGGGCAAGCGUUAUCCGGAUUUACUGGGUGUAAAGGGAGCGUAGACGGCAUGGCAAGUCAGAUGUGAAAGCCCGGGGCUCAACCCCGGGACUGCAUUUGAAACUGUCAGGCUGGAGUGCAGGAGAGGUAAGUGGAAUUCCUAGUGUAGCGGUGAAAUGCGUAGAUAUUAGGAGGAACACCAGUGGCGAAGGCGGCUUACUGGACUGUAACUGACGUUGAGGCUCGAAAGCGUGGGGAGCAAACAGGAUUAGAUACCCUAGUA